rnacentral:tRNA from 1 species
AUGGGCGUAGCUCAGUGGCAGAGCGGCGGUCUCCAAAACCGCGUGUCGGGAGUUCGAUUCUCUCCGCCCGUGCGA